rnacentral:rRNA from 1 species
AUUGAACGCUGGCGACAUGCCUUACACAUGCAAGUCGAACGGCAGCACGGGUGCUUGCACCUGGUGGCGAGUGGCGAACGGGUGAGUAAUACAUCGGAACAUGUCCUGUAGUGGGGGAUAGCCCGGCGAAAGCCGGAUUAAUACCGCAUACGAUCUACGGAUGAAAGCGGGGGACCUUCGGGCCUCGCGCUAUAGGGUUGGCCGAUGGCUGAUUAGCUAGUUGGUGGGGUAAAGGCCUACCAAGGCGACGAUCAGUAGCUGGUCUGAGAGGACGACCAGUCACACUGGGACUGAGACACGGCCCAGACUACUACGGGAGGCAGCAGUGGGGAAUUUUGGACAAUGGGCGAAAGCCUGAUCCAGCAAUGCCGCGUGUGUGAAGAAGGCCUUCGGGUUGUAAAGCACUUUUGUCCGGAAAGAAAUCCUUGGCCCUAAUACGGUCGGGGGAUGACGGUACCGGAAGAAUAAGCACCGGCUAACUACGUG